AUGAUGGUGAUGGCGGUGACAAUGGUGGCUGCGAUCGAAUGGCUAGCAGCGGACCGACCGAAAGAUUGGGCCGGCGCGCCCGCGCCUAGCAUUGGCCAUGGGAAAAUUGAAGCUCACUCGGGACUGGAUCAAGAGCCUAGUUUCUCAUGGGCCGGUUUCACUAAAAACUCUUUUCUUUGUGUUGCCCAUCGACGAAGUAGACUCUCUCUCAGCCGGUGUAGUGAGCCUCUAGUCGACAAAGGUAGUCCCAACGCUAGUUGCUCAAAAAAAGGUAGUCCCAACGCUUCCAAGGGGCGCCGGCGGCUGGGGUUUCUUCCUCUCCACCUCCACCACCUGCGGGCUCGCCGCCGGCUGGACCUGCUCAGCGUGCGGGAUCGCGUCCUCGCCUGGCGACGUUGUCGUGCAUUGCCCGUCGCGCCCUCGCCUGUCGAGUAUUUUUCCUCGGUGCGCCGCCCUCCCGCAGCUCCGUCGCCUUCUCUACCAUGGUGCGCCGCUGCCCCUUUUGUAGAUGGUAAGCUGCUAUGCAUCAGCCAAAUGGUGGCAUGUUUGGUGUUGAGAUCUCAUUGUCAUCGGAUUCAAAUCUGGGCUGUGUUUCGUUCAAGAGGAAGUUUCUGUCUUCUUCGCAAGCCUGCAACACCUGUUGCAUUUUUGUUCACCAUGGCCAACAAUUCCACCUCUGAAGUUAGCCAUGGCCAGCUACCCAAGACAUCGUCCACAUGCUUGACGGAGGGUGUCACUGCGGUGCAUGAUUUUGAGGUGGCCAAUUACCGGUUGCUGGAUGGCAUUGGCAUCGGCAAGCACGUCAGCUCAAGCAACUUCAGCGUGGGUGGCUUCGAAUGGUUUAUCAAUUUCUUCCCGGAUGGGAGGAUGGCAGACUACGCUGACUAUACAUCAGUCUUUCUUGACCGUGUCAUCCAACAGAAUGACACUUAUAAUGUCAGGACUAAGUUCACCUUAAACAUGCUAGAGAAAGACGGCGAGGCACAAUUAACUAAAUAUAAUGAGAUAAAUCAUGUCUUUUCCUCAGCAAAGUCAUAUUGGGGCUACUUCAGAUUCGUUGCCAAAGCGAAACUGAAAUCAUCGUCGCAAGCCAACAAUGGCUUCUUCAUUAUACGUUGUGUUCUCACCGUGAUAAAAGAACCUUGCACCGAGGUUAAGAGGAACACUGUUGUGGUUCCGCAACCUAAUAUGCAAGGCCAACUCUGCCAAAUGUGGAAGGAUGGACAGGGAGCAGAUGUGACAUUCAGUGUGAGUGGCCAAUUGUUCAAAGCUCACAGAUGCUUGUUGGCUGCACGGUCUCUGGUUUUCAAGGCGGAGCUCUUUGGUCCUAUGAAGGAGAAAGAAACACAGUGUAUCAAAAUUGAUGACAUCGACCCUAAAAUCUUUGAGGCGCUUCUUCACUUCAUAUACACAGAUUCCCUGCUAGUCAAUGAGCACCACAGAGAAGGUGAAAUUGCAAAAAUGCAGCAUCUGCUAGUUGCCUCGGAUCGAUAUGGAUUGGAUAGGUUAAAUGGGAUGUGCGAAAGUAAAUUGUCUGAGCGCAUUGACGUGGAGACUGUUGCAACAACAUUGGUUUUAGCAGAGCAAGUGCAACACCAUUGCAAGGAUCUCAAAGAAGCAUGUGUUGAGUUUAUCGCUCCACGGAAUGUUCUACAAGCUGUUAUGGCAACCGAUGGUUUCGAGCAUUUGGUAGCAAGCUGUCCUUUGCUCAUGAAGGAGUUACUGGACAUGAGUCCGAAGCAAAAUGAAGCCUCCCCGUGUGUUUGGAUUCUGGACCAUCGGAUCGAAAUCUCCUCGCGAUACAGGCCGUCGGAUCUCGAUCCAAAUCGCUGUGGGUCGUUGGAUAUUUACCCGAUCAACCUCGGCCAUCGGAUAAAAAUUCAAUGGCAACAUAAUCCGCAUCCUCCCUUCCGCACUCGCGCCUCCCCCGCGCCCAGCUCCUCCCGCCUCGCCACCUCCUCCUCUCCCCUCCCGCGCGCCUCCCCUCCCCUCCUCUCCCACUCGUCCUCCUCCCCGCUCCCCUUCCUGGCGGCGCUCCCGACCGCCGCACGACGUCUUCUCUUCCCCACCGUCGAACUCAGGCCGCCGCUCCGCCCCCCGUCCCCGUCGCACCUCCCCUCGAGCCGCCGGCUGGCGCUCUCCCUUCACCGGAGGAGUUGGGUGAGAGGAGCGUGGGCCUUCGCCGUCCUCGUGCACCCCAUGUCGCCGCCUUCUCCUCCGCGCGCCCAGUCGGCCGCCGCUCCUCUGCGCCGCCUUCCUCCUCCUCCUCCUCGAGGCCGUCCAGGAUCAAGCGUGGGCCGCGUGGAUAGCAAGGACGAGAAGCUCGUCCUCCUGCUCCACCAUAUGCCCGUGUGCAGCUUGCAGAUGCAGACUGGUGUUCGUGCUGCCUCUCCAUCCCACAAAGUGUUUCCGCCUCAGGUAUUGUGCUUUGGAGUUCUGAUGUAUAACUCUUGCACGGUGUGUGAGAACAUUCCCGUGGUUGUCUGCAGUAACAAGGUUUUUAGUAGUAUGCAAUUUCUGCCAAAAGCGACUACAACUUUGAGAAGCCCAUCCUUUACCUUGCAAGCAAACUGGCUAGAGAAAGCAGGAAGAGGAGGAAGCAUAGAGGGAGAAGGGGUUACUCUUGCCUUCGAUAUUUCGACCUUCUUUGUGCUUCAAUUAUCCAGGUUCAUCCCCUUUCCCUUUCUGUUCAUGUAUCUUGUCCAUAUGAUCUAUGUUUACGAUUCCUACAGAAGGACGGAUACCCUUUCUUUUCUAUUGGAUGGGCAACAACAUAACCCCGCUGUGCGUAUGUGGCCGGACUAUAAUAACAACUAUGGUAUGAAAGCGGCAAGGAGGUGCUACCUGAUAUACAUCAAUGACGAUGAAGGUUGCCGCGUCGUCCUCGUCUUGGGCUUGCAAGGGAUUGGAUCCGGUGUGAUUGAUUCUUCCUCUCGCAAGGUGGGUACAUCCUAUCUUCCGAUUUCUUCCAUGAGUUUUGGUUUGCUGCUCCAGGAGACUGAUAUGAACUGCCAAUUUGAGAGAAAAGUUGCAUACUUUGUGAACCAAUUGGAGAUUCAUGUUGUUUCCCUGGAUAUUGUGUAUUUGAGCGCAAAUUGCAUGCUCUAUAAACUAACGGGAGAUUUCUGUUGUUACCAGAAUAUUGUACGAAGGGUGGACUAUGAAGGGAAACACUGGUGUUCUAAGAUAGAUGUUCUGUGUUUGAGAUCUUGCCUUGGUAGCUGGAUGCCUUGGUGCAAGACAUUCAAGAUCCAAGGUUGUUUGAUGUGUUUGUGCUCGUCGGCGGGACGGUGCAAGGCGCAACUCCGACGCGGUUCCUCGCCGGUUGGACGGCGUUCAGGCGCAACCCCGGCGCGCACUGAGUACUGCCUCGGCUACAGCCUCCCUCGGGCAACUCCACUGUAUGAACAGAUUGAUCUGGUGAUAAGAGAUGACGGGGGUAGGUUAUAUGAUCGAGGAAAGGUGAAUCUGAGCCCGAUAUGCAUCCCCUUGUUAGAGUCUGAACCGAAAAGGAGCUCUCCCGUGCGUUUCCACUUGUUAGAGUCUGAACCGAAAUGGAGCUCUCCCGUGCGUUUGGAUUCUGGACCGUCGGAUCAAAAUCUCCUCGCGAUACAAGCCGUCGGAUCUCGAUCCAAAUCGCUGUGGGUCGUUGGAUAUUUACCGAUCAACUUCGGCCGUCGGAUAAAAUUCCAAUGGCAACAGAAUGUGGUUCCCAUGGCGAUGGCGGCAGCGGCCACGGAGGAGGGCGGCAUAUCAGCGGCGCCGGCAAUGGUGUCCGUGCCGGCUAUGCAAUGA
rnacentral:rRNA from 1 species